rnacentral:rRNA from 1 species
UACGUAGGGUGCAAGCGUUAAUCGGAAUUACUGGGCGUAAAGCGUGCGCAGGCGGUUGUGUAAGCCAGAUGUGAAAUCCCCGGGCUCAACCUGGGAACUGCAUUUGUGACUGCACGGCUGGAGUGCGGCAGAGGGGGAUGGAAUUCCGCGUGUAGCAGUGAAAUGCGUAGAUAUGCGGAGGAACACCGAUGGCGAAGGCAAUCCCCUGGGCCUGCACUGACGCUCAUGCACGAAAGCGUGGGGAGCAAACAGG